rnacentral:misc_RNA from 1 species
AGCAGCCGCGGUAAUUCCAGCUCCAAUAGCGUAUAUUAAAGUUGCUGCAGUUAAAAAGCUCGUAGUUGAAUUUCGGGACUAAUAUGUCGGUCGUGCCUAGGUACGUACUGGCAUUGUUGGUUUCUACCUUCUGACGAACCAUGAUGUCAUUUAUUUGGUGUCGUGGGAAAUCAGGACUGUUACUUUGAAAAAAUUAGAGUGUUUAAAGCAGGCCCACGCUUGAAUACAUUAGCAUGGAAUAAUGAAAUAGGACGUCUGAUUCUAUUUUGUUGGUUUCUAGGAUCGACGUAAUGAUUAAUAGGGAUAGUUGGGGGCAUUAGUAUUCAAUUGUCAGAGGUGAAAUUCUUGGAUUUAUUGAAGACUAACUACUGCGAAAGCAUUUGCCAAGGAUGUUUUCAUUAAUCAAGAACGAAAGUUAGGGGAUCGAAGACGAUCAGAUACCGUCGUAGUCUUAACCAUAAACUAUGCCGACUAGGGAUCGGAUGAUGUUAAUUUUUUAAUGACUCAUUCGGCGCCUUAC